rnacentral:misc_RNA from 1 species
GUAAUGUAAUUCAAAGUGCGUGUGUGGAUGUUUAUCGCUUUUGAGUUUGACAUGUUAAAGAUUCAAUAUUUUAGGAGUAUCAUCAGUUAAAUACCAUAAGUCUAGCCAUAAUCCGUACGAAUUAAUAUGUUUACUUAAAAUAUGGGUUUUAAUUUUUUCAAUAUAUCGUAGCGGCCUAAUACUUUUUUAAAAUUUCUGACAUCGUCAAUUGUGCGUUUUUGACUUUUUUAUUUACAACUUAAGCAGUUAUAAUUUUUGUAAGAAUAAUAAUUAUUAAGUAGUGCUGUGGAUCGUUGACUGGUGAUUAUAUUGCAAGUAUCGGAUAUUAGGCUGCAGAUUUCUUCCUGAUAAAUAUUACGUUGUGACAUUAGGUUAAUAUAUUAUAAAAUGCCACAGAGAGUAUGAAAGCUUAUUUAGUUACUAAUUGAAUAAUUCGUAAACUAAGUAAAGUGUGAAUUUAAAAAUUGAGUGUGCCCGGACGGAUUGGGGGGGGGGAAAUUAUUUUUAUAGCUUCUUAUUUUCCAUUAUAGUUAUCAUAUAAAUUUAUAUAUGAAUUUCCUCUCUGUAGCAAAGAGUUCCAUAUGUAUUAGCUUUGAAGAGAGGUUAAAAUAUUAAAGUGGAUUCAUCCGAUAAAAAUUUUGAUUUGAUUUACAUGCUAAAUUUUACUUCAUAUUUAUUAUUUUGCUUUCAGAUUUUCAUUAAAAAUGAAGUAUCUAGAACUUAUAUUUUCCCAGUAUAUGGACAGAGUUUACAUAUAUUUAAUUAAUUAAAGUUUCAUUUAAUUGAAAUGUAGCUGAUGCAUAAUUUGCAUGGACCAUGAAGAAUCAUAAGCAGGUCACUUUUUUAAGGCAUUGACUAAGUUUCCUCAAUUUAUGAAAUUAUUUCGUGGAUAGUUCAAAAUAUCUUAUAUUUAAAUCUUUCCUGCCAUAUGAUUCUGUCUUAGAAGAAUAGUUUUGUUUUAAUUAACAAAUUCAGAAUGAAAUUUUAAAAUAUAUUGCUUUUGUUUAUUAUAUAUAAUACUUAGUAAUUGUACGAGUCCCAAACUAUAUUGCAAUGAAAUCAUCUAAUGAAACUGGGAAUAUAAGAACUUUCCUGGGGAAAAAACAGAAAUCAUUUGAAUUUCAUUCAGUUCAUGAAUUUGAAAGCAAAGAUUUAAAAAAAGUAAUAAAGCCUUGUGCAUCAGCUUCAUUAUUAUCUGGGAGAGGAAAGCUGAUGCUGCAGCAGCAAAAUUAUGAAACUUUCUCAUCAGAAUUUUCUCGACAAUCUUUUAAAAUUUAUGGAAUGGAAGACCAAAAGUUAUUUCUUUCUUCAUAUCAAAUAUUAGAAAAAAUGAAUAAACUCAUAUCUAAAGUUACUAAUAUUAAAAGUUACAGCUGUUCUCAUGAGAAUCAUCUUGAAUGUGCAUGUGCUCAGAUAAGCUUUAGAAAAUUAAUUUUAUACCGUGAUAAUCUGAAGCAGCUUCUAGAGGAAAGAUGUACAUUAAUAUUAAAAGAAGAAUGUGACUUUUGUGUCAAGGAGAGUUUGAAUAUGAUUUGUGAUUUUAAGCAUAUUUAUAUAAAUGAAAAAAUGAAAAUGACAUCUCUUCCUAUUCAGUCAUUUAACAGAUUCAUUGACAGUUCAGACUUGAGUAUUUCAGUAUUAGAAUUAUUUUUGAAAAAGCUGCAAAUGAUCUGUGAUUUACAUUUAUCUCUCAGCAGCAGUUAUCAAAAGAUCAUUAAUUUUUUCCAUGUUAGUUUCAGUAUGGAUUUGUAUCAAAUAGUUUUAAAAACCAACAAAAUGUUGCAGAAAUUGAAAUCUGAGAUAUUUUAUUGGGCUCAUAAAAUACUGGCCAUUUAUAUGCAAAAGCUUUGUUUAGCAGAUCCUAAUUCAGUUUCACCAAAUUUUUUGCAGGACGUUUUAGAAAUUUAUAAAGUUUUCAAUGUAAUCAUAUCAGAUAAUGAAAAGGUUAUGAGACAAAAAUAUUUGAAGGCAGCCAGUGAUCUUUUUUAUGAUAGUGUAGUGCAUUAUGAAUGUAAAAAGUUGCCAUUUAGUAUUAUGCUACAGUACCUAUCUCUAUUUGAAGCUAAGGUAGCAGCAGAAAGAAUUGUUCAAUUUUUAAUUGGUAUGUGUAAACAUUUUAAGCUAGUAAAUUUCCAAAAGAAAGACAGUUUUAAUCAUGAAUGGGUCAAAGUAGUGAGUGCUACAUCUGAUUAUUGUAGCGGCUCGGCCAGUGAUGUUAUUUCAGAAAAUGUGCUUGCUGAAUCACCAAAACCUGUAUCUAAUUUUCUAAAUGUCCUGUUUUCCUUAAUGCAGCGAAACCAGUCUUUCGUUUUAAAAUAUUUGUAUGCUAUUAUGAAUGUAAAGAAUAUAUCAUCGCAUAAGAGUAGAACGAAACAUUUGCAUGAAAAAACUUCAAAACUUAGUUCAGUUCGUCAGACUUGGAGCUUGCCACUACAAGUACACGAAGGGGACAGUUACAUUCAUCUAGAGGAAAUAUAUUGGUCACAUUUUUGGAAUAAUACUGAAAAAUUCAUCCUGAAACUCCUUUUACAAGUUCCAUACCAUCAAUAUGGGGCAGCUGCUGCUGGAGCAAUUAUUUUAUGGCCAGAAUCAUAUCGUAAUUACAUCAUACACAUUUUACAAAUGAGUAUAAAAAAUGAAGAUAUCUCUCCUGAAAGCAGAGUUGUUAUGAAUCAAAUAUCAAAUUACAUUUUUGCUUAUUCUUUGCAAAUUUCCUGGGAUAGAGAUUUUUGUUUAUCACUUUCUGCUGUGCAGGUUGAUAACUGUGUGCCUGUGCCAACAGUGCAGAAUGAGAUCAGAACUCACACUGGAAAUUUGUUUUCUGAUUGUUUAACACAAGUUACUAGAAUUUUGAAUAAUGAUGUUCAUGAUAUGGAACUACUUAUUUAUUUGAAAUGUAUUCUUCAAAUUCAAGCAACUUUAGAUUGUUUUAAUUUAUGGCUGACUGUGAGAACCAGAGCUUUAGUGUCAUCAUGGAAUUUGUCAAUGUAUAUGCUCAUCAGUUUUUCUGAUUGUCGACAUGCGGCUAAAUUAUUGAAAAGUAGGGAGAUACCAGGUGCUUCAACAGAUAAGCAUUCAGUGACGUCAAAAAUUAUCCCUUCUACCAAACACAAGUUAGAAAGCUCUGUUUUAAAGCAAGUUAAAGAUCUAGAGGGAUGUGUAUCUGAAGCUCCAAAUUUGCUUUACAAGAUUUAUUACAGAACGACAUCAAGAAUUCUGCUGUCUGUCUUGAAAACAGCCUGUGGCUGUCAAAUAAAAAGAAAAAUCAAAGAUGUAUGGGCCUGUUUCAGUAGAAGAAAUGUUGUUUCCAUUGACUGAAAGUUUAAACCACAUUGCUGAUGUAUCUCCAAUAAUCAUAGCAUCAACAUCUGCUAUCGCAGAAGCAUUUCUGCAUUUUCUUUAUAAAUGUAAAAGAAGUUUAAGUGCUGCAAGGAAUGUUAGCUUUAUAAGUGCAGAAGCAUUGAAAUUUCUAUUGUGGGUGAAGAAUCUUCCUGAACCUGAGAAAGGAAACAUUGCAAAAUUGGAGUCAGUGCAGAAAUUAUGUUCUGUGGUGGAACUA